GAGGUGCUGUCUACAGUACUCAUCGACAGUAAUGGAAGCGCGAGCGGAUGAUUUGAAUUAAUUUCAGGCUAUCCAUUAGGAGCUGUGUGAGAAAAUAUGGCGCCUUUUCAUUGAGCCUGUUUUUCGAUAACUACAGCAAAUUUUGAUGAUACCACAGCGGACAUCAUGCCAACCGAUCACGACUGAGGUCGGGUGGAAAGACUGGAGAACUACAGCAGAUGAGCAUGGCAGUCCAGCUGGAUGUUCCGACGGUUGCUGCUCGCAUCUCAGCCUGCUGGAUGGAAAUUACUUGCUGGAUGAUGAAUGACCUUCAACUCAACCAUGUCAAACUGCUCAUGUUUUCAGCCAACCCAACAUGUAUAAACUUCACCAACCACAUUGCACUGCCUGAUCCUGUGGAUAUACCUUGUACAACAUUAGGAAGAUCAGGCCCUUCCUUUUGGAGCAUGCUACACAACUCCUUGUCCAAGCUUUUGUUCUAUCCAGACUGGACUGUUGUAAUGCUCUCUUGGCAGGCCUUCCAGCAUGCACUGUCAAACCUCUGCAGCUGAUCCAGAAUGCUGCAGCAAGAGUGAUCUUUAACUAGCCGAAUAGAGCACACGUCACACCUCUCUUAAUGAGUUUGCACUGACUGCCAAUUGCCGCUCACAUCAAAUUGAAGGCACUGAUGUUUGUCUGCAGAACAACCACUGGCUCUGCACCCCUAUACAUAAACUCACUACUUCAGACCUGUGUCCUCCAGAAGUUUGCGUUCUGCAAGUGAAUCACGCCUUGUGGUGCCAUCCCAUAGACACACAAAAUCACUUUCAUGGACCUUUACUUUGACUGUUACCUGCUGUUGAGAUAAACUGCCUAACUCCACCCAUUUUCAAGAAAUGGCUAAAAUGUAUAUUUUCAUGAAUA